CCUACGGGAGGCAGCAGUGAGGAAUAUUGGUCAAUGGGCGCGAGCCUGAACGAGCCAAGUAGCGUGAAGGAUGACGGCCCUACGGGUUGUAAACUUCGUUGAUAAAGGAAAAAGGUGAGGCAAGUGAGCGUUUUUGUAUGGACGGUAUGAAUAAGGAUAGGCUAGCUCCGUGACAGCAGCCGAGGUAAUACGGAGGUUCCGAGCGUUAUCCGGAUUUGUUGGGUUUAACGGGAGCGUAGAUGGGUUGUUAAGUCAGUUGUGCAAGUUUUCGGCUCAACCGUAAAAUUGCAUUUGAUACGGGCAGUCUUGAGUACAGUUGAGGUCGGCGGAAUUCGUUGUGUAGCGGUGAACUGCUUAGAUAUCUCGAAGAACUCCGAUUGCGAAGGCAGCUCACUAAACUGCCCCUGCCAUUGCUGCUCGAAAGUGUGGGUAUCAAACAGGAUUAGCUACCCCAGUAGUC
rnacentral:rRNA from 1 species